AGCACUUAGCUGGGGUGAUCUGAAAGGGGGGAUGGGAGCGGUGUAGGAAGCACUUAGCUGGAGGUGAUACUGAGAAGGGGGGAUGGGAGCGGUGUACGGAGCACUUAGCUGGAGGUGAUACUGAGAAGGGGGGAUGGGAGCGGUGUAGGAAGCACUUAGCUGGAGGUGAUGCUGAGAGGAGGGGAUGGAGCGGUGUAGGAAGCACUUAGCUGGAGGUGAUACGAUGGUGCGGUGUACAGAGCACUUAGCUGGAGGUGAUACUGAGAAGGGGAUGGGAGCGGUGUACGGAGCACUUAGCUGGAGGUGAUGCUGAGAAGGGGGGAUGGAGCGGUGUAGGGAAGCACUUAGCUGGAGGUGAUGCUGAGAAGGGGGAUGGAGCGGUGUAGGAAGCACU